GAGUCUGUCUGGUGAAGGUCUGCAGUCGGUGCUGGAGGACUCUGUCUCCCCAACCUUCAGCGCCACCGUCAUCAUAAUUGUCAUGGUCAUCAUGUCUGGCAGCGCCUACCUCUGCUUUCUGAAGUACAUGUGCGCCGGGUGCUGCAAGCCCACACAGGUAGCACCCGUCACUCACCUGAACCCCAACAAGAACGAGAAACAGGGCUCUGAUGGAGACAGCUGUGCUUGAAGACUGAUUUGG